UACGGGGGGAGCAAGCGUUGUUCGGAUUUACUGGGCGUAAAGGGCGCGUAGGCGGCGCGGUAAGUCACUUGUGAAAUCUCUGAGCUUAACUCAGAACGGCCAAGUGAUACUGCAGUGCUAGAGUGUGGAAGGGGCAAUCGGAAUUCUUGGUGUAGCGGUGAAAUGCGUAGAUAUCAAGAGGAACACCUGAGGUGAAGACGGGUUGCUGGGCCAACACUGACGCUGAGGCGCGAAAGCCAGGGGAGCAAACAGG
rnacentral:rRNA from 1 species